rnacentral:misc_RNA from 1 species
GAUGAAGAACGUAGUGAAAUGCGAUACUUGGUGUGAAUUGCAGAAUCCCGUGAACCAUCGAGUCUUUGAACGCGAGUUGCGCCCGAAGCCAUUAGGCCGAGGGCACGCCUGCCUGGGCGUCACACGUCGUUGCCCCCCCAUCUACUCCUUCGGGAUUGCGGGGGGCGGAUGAUGGCCUCCCGUGCGCCUCGUCGCGCGGUUGGCAUAAAUGCCAAGUCCUCGGCGACGCACGCCACGACAAUCGGUGGUUGCGAAACCUCGGUUGCCCGUCGUGUGCGGUCGUCGCGCAUCGAGGGCUCGAAAAAAUUGCCGGGCUCCGGCUCGGCUUUCAACGCGACCCCAGGUCAGGCGGGGUUACCCGCUGAAUUUAAGCAUAUCAAUAAGCGGAGGA